UACGAAGGGGGCUAGCGUUGCUCGGAAUCACUGGGCGUAAAGGGCGCGUAGGCGGCCCAUUUAAGUCGGGGGUGAAAAGCCUGUGGCUCAACCACAGAAUUGCCUUCGAUACUGGGUGGCUUGAGUUCGGAAGAGGUUGGUGGAACUGCGAGUGUAGAGGUGAAAUUCGUAGAUAUUCGCAAGAACACCGGUGGCGAAGGCGGCCUGCUGGCAGUGGCUCGCAAGAGUCAAUAGCUGACGCUGAGGCGCGACAGCGUGGGGAGCAAACAGG
rnacentral:rRNA from 1 species